UUAAAAAACCUUAUUUCACUGACUGCUGCCAAAUAUUUUUUCUUGCCCUUCCUCCUUUUAAAAAUAUAUGGUUUAAAGACUCGCCAUGAGAUUAAACGACUGGUUAAGAGGGAUGUAAGUUUUUUAUUUUUUAUUUUUUUUAUUUUUUCCCAUUGCAGUGCCCAGCUCUGGCAUGCGCUGCUGCUCCUCCUGACUGCCAGACGAGCGCUCGGAGGGGUGUUAAGGGACGAGCUUAUGGAUCGAUGUCUCACUCUGCUCAGCCCAGCUGUAGCUGUUGUUGCUCACACAGAGAGGCUUUGUCUGGGCUCUGCGAAAAACACACCGAUAACAACUGUUUACCGUCUGCCGCCUCGGGCCUGAGCCGGGCCUCGGCACUCGCGGCACAUCGGGGCAUCCGCCGGUGUCUGUGGGUGUCGGAGGUUACAAUAAGGGAACCUGGACACGCUCGGACUGAGAUCACACAACAGGGGCGGUACACGAGAUGAGCCGCGCGGAGGCAGGUUGUUAUCCGCAACAAAGACCCAAAAUGAGCUGAAUUCGCCAGGAAUGCCAUCUGGACUCC
rnacentral:lncRNA from 1 species